UAAUAUGUCUAAGACAUAUACUCAUCUAGUUAUGACAGACCCAUACUAGACCAUAUCACCAACAAUGAAAAAUAAAGGACAGUUACCAUGUGAACAAUAAUUUUUUGAGAUUUUAAU
rfam:Populus trichocarpa isolate Nisqually-1 chromosome 10, whole genome shotgun sequence.